GUUUUAUUUCAAAGCUUCAAAAGUUAUUACAUGCAACUUUUUACGUGAAAGAUCUCGACCAACUCACAUACUUCUUAGGACUCGAAGUUCAUCAUCAACCCAAUGGUAUUUUCUUAAACCAGCAUAAGUAUAUUCAGGAUCUUAUUGCGUUAGCUGGGUUGGAGAAGUCUUCUUCUGUGGAUACUCCUAUGGAAGUCAAUGUAAAGUAUCGGAAAGAUGAAGGGGAUCUUCUAGACGAUCCUACAUUAUAUCGUCGCCUUGUUGGGAGUCUCAUCUAUUUGACUACCACUCGCCCAGAUAUCUCUUAUGCCGUUCACCAGGUCAGCCAGUUUAUGUCUUCACCUCGACAUCUUCAUCUUGCGGCCGUUCAUCGUAUUAUUCGCUAUAUUCGUGGAUCAUCCACUCGUGGGUUAUUUUUUCCUAAAGGGUCGUUUCUUCAGCUUCCUGCCUACAGUGAUGUUGAUUGGGCUGGAUGUCCGGAUACUCGUCGUUCUACUACGGGUUGGUGUAUGUUUUUGGGUGAUGCAUUAAUCUCUUGAAAAUGUAAGAAACAAGAUCGCGUCUCUAAAUCAUCUACUGAGGCUGAGUAUCGUGCUAUGUCUACAGCUUGUUCUGAGAUUAUUUGGUUACGAGGU
rnacentral:lncRNA from 1 species